rnacentral:rRNA from 1 species
UACAGAGGUCCCAAGCGUUGUUCGGAUUCACUGGGCGUAAAGGGUGCGCAGGUGGGUUGGCAAGUUCGAUGUGAAAGCCCCCGGGCUUAACCCGGGAAUGGCAUUGGAAACUGCUGAUCUGGAGGAUCGGAGGGGGGACUGGAAUUCUUGGUGUAGCAGUGAAAUGCGUAGAUAUCAAGAGGAACACCAGUGGCGAAGGCGAGUCCCUGGACGAUACCUGACACUGAGGCACGAAAGCCAAGGGAGCAAACAGG